GACGAACGCUGGCGGCGUGCCUAACACAUGCAAGUCGAACGAGAAAGUCCCUUCGGGGGCGAGUACAGUGGCGCACGGGUGAGUAAUACGUGGAUAACCAACCCUCGGGUGGGGGAUAACAGUCCGAAAGGAUUGCUAAUCCCGCAUAAGACCACGACAGCUGCGGCUGUUGAGGCCAAAGGCGCUUUAAUGUGUCGCCUGAGGACGGGUCCGCGUCCCAUUAGCUAGUUGGCGGGGUAAUGGCCCACCAAGGCGAUGAUGGGUAGCUGGUCUGAGAGGAUGACCAGCCACACUGGGACUGGAACACGGCCCAGACUCCUACGGGAGGCAGCAGUGAGGAAUAUUGCACAAUGGGCGAAAGCCUGAUGCAGCAACGCCGCGUGAGUGAUGAAGGCCCUCGGGUUGUAAAGCUCUUUUGUCCGGAAAGAAAAGCGCCGGGUUAAUACCCUGGUGUCCUGACGGUACCGGAAGAAUAAGCACCGGCUAACUUCGUGCCAGCAGCCGCGGUAAA
rnacentral:rRNA from 1 species